AGACGGGGGGUGCUAGCGUUGUUCGGAAUUACUGGGCGUAAAGGGCGCGUAGGCGGCUCUGCGAGUCGGGCGUGAAAUCCCGGGGCUCAACCCCGGAACGGCGCUCGAUACUGCGGGGCUGGAGACCGGAAGAGGAGGGUGGAAUUCCCAGUGUAGAGGUGAAAUUCGUAGAUAUUGGGAGGAACACCGGUGGCGAAAGCGGCUCUCUGGGCCGGUUCUGACGCUGAGGCGCGAAAGCGUGGGGAGCAAACAGGAUUAGAAACCCUUGUAGUCC
rnacentral:rRNA from 1 species